rnacentral:rRNA from 1 species
AGUCGAGCGGUAACAGGAGAAAGCUUGCUUUCUUGCUGACGAGCGGCGGACGGGUGAGUAAUGUAUGGGGAUCUGCCCGAUAGAGGGGGAUAACUACUGGAAACGGUGGCUAAUACCGCAUGACGUCUACGGACCAAAGCAGGGGGCUCUUCGGACCUUGCGCUAUCGGAUGAACCCAUAUGGGAUUAGCUAGUACGUGAGGUAAUGGCUCACCUAGGGGACGAUUUUUAGCGGUUUUAAAAGGUGGUUAACCCCACUGGGAUGAGACAGGCCCCGAAUCCUUCCGGGAGGCAGCAAUGGGGAAUAUUCCCCAAGGGGGCCAACCUUAAGCCAGCCAGGCGGGGUUUAGGAAGAAGGCCUUAGGGUUGUAAAGUACUUUCAGCGGGGAGGAAGGUGUUAGGAUUAUUAUUCUUACCAAUUGACGUUACCCGCAGAAGAAGCACCGGCUAAUUCCGUGCCAGCAGCCGCGGUAAUACGGAGGGUGCAAGCGUUAAUCGGAAUUACUGGGCGUAAA